ensembl:lncRNA
UCACAGCCUUGUCCCCUGUAUUGGCAGGUAGAUUCUUAACCAGUGGACCACCAGGGAAGGCCAGGGCAGCCUAACCUUGGUGAAGAGGGUCCUGUGUCUAUGUCCUGUAGGAAGUGCCACAAUGGCUUCGUGGUCUAAGGAAGAGAACUCAGCUAGAACUCACUGGAACGGCUUCCUAGUGACAGACUGGGAGAGGCCCACGCCAGAAGAUGGGACUGUGCGGCAGGAGAUGCACGCACAGGUCUCCGGCACAGGGGUAUACUGGUGAACGACAGACACAAACUGGUAUUGUGAAACAAAAUGUGGUGAGAGUCUGCCUGCAAUGCACGAGACCAGGGUUCGAUCCCUGGGUUGGGAAGAGCCCCUGGAGAAGCAAAUGGCAAUCCACUCCAAUAUUCUUUCCUGGAGCAUCCCCUGGACAGAGGAGCCUGGCGGGCUACAGUCCAUGGGGUUGCAAAGAGCUGGACACAGCUGAGCGACUAACACAAGAAAUGGUGAAAUUACAGAAUGCUAUGAACUUCCCUCAUUCCUUCUUUCUUUAUUCAACAAAGAUUGAGUACUCAGUGUAUUAUGACAGGCAUUGUCCUAAGUGCUGAGGAUCAAACCAUGUGCCUAGUCUCAUGGAGCUCAUUGCUCUGUGUAACUGGUUGACCUGAGGUCUGGGUCCACAUUUCGAGACAACGCGAGUGACAGAUCAGAAUAGGGUAAAGUAACAGAAGGAAAAUAAGAAAAUGUCUUCUGGGGGAUAUCAGAAAAUAUAGACCCAAAGCCGUAGUGAAAUAGUAGAGUUUAAAAAGAAUGAAGACAGGGGGAGAAGAUCUAGAUCUGAUAGAGUGCCUGAUGAACUAUGGAAUGAGGUUCGUGACAUUGUACAGGAGACAGGGAUCAAGAUCAUCCCCAUGGAAAAGAAAUGCAAAAAAGCAAAAUGGCUGUCUGGGGAGGCCUUACAAAUAGCUGUGAAAAGAAGAAAAGCGAAAAGCAAAGGAGAAAAGGAAAGAUAUAA